rnacentral:rRNA from 1 species
AUUGAACGCUAGCGGCAUGCCUUACACAUGCAAGUCGAACGGCAGCGGGGGAGCUUGCUCCCGCCGGCGAGUGGCGAACGGGUGAGUAAUACAUCGGAACGUACCCAGUAGCGGGGGAUAGCCCGGCGAAAGCCGGAUUAAUACCGCAUACGCCCUACGGGGGAAAGGGGGGGAUCGCAAGACCUCUCACUAUUGGAGCGGCCGAUGGCUGAUUAGCUGGUUGGUGGGGUAAAGGGGUACCAAGGCGACGAUCAGUAGCUGGUCUGAGAGGACGAGCAGCCACACUGAGACUGGGACACGGCCGCGAUUACUACGGGAGGCAGCAGUGGGGAAUUUUGGACAAUGGGCGAAAGCCGGAUCCAGCAAUGCCGGGUGUGCGAAGAAGCCCUUCGGGUGGUAAAGCACUUCUGUCAGGGAAGAAAUCGUUUGGGUUAAUACCCCGAGCAGUUGACGGUACCUGAAGAAUAAGCACCGGCUAACUACGUGCCAGCAGCCGCCGUAA